rnacentral:rRNA from 1 species
GAUGAACGCUGGCUGCAUGCUUAACACAUGCAAGUCGGACGGGAACGGCUGUGUCCCGUGGUUCACCGGUGAGCAACGCGCAAACAGGUGACUAAGGGGUGGCCACAAUGCCUGGGAACGGUGGCUAACACCUCGUAGGCCGAGGUGCAAACGGAGGAAUGCGCCCGAGGAGGGGCUAGGGGCGGUAUAGAUAGCUGCGGAGGUAAUAGCUUACCAAGGCGAUGAGCAGUAGCUGGUCCUAGAGGAUGAUCAGACACACUGGCACUGGGGGACAGGCCGGAGUCCUGCGGGGGGCAGCAGGGGGGAAAUUUCCGCAAUGCGCGGUAGCCUGAAGGAGCAAUGCCGCGUGGAGGUAGAAGGGCCUCGAGUCGUGAACUUCUUUUGUCGGGGGAGAAACAAUGACGGUAUCUGAGGAAUAAGCAUCGGCUAACUCUGUG